UGAGGAAUUUUGCACAAUGGGGGCAACCCUGAUGCAGCGACGCCGCGUGUGGGAUGAAGGGGCUAUGCCUUGUAAACCACUGUCGAAUGGGAAUAAAGGUUCGGUCGCCGAACUGGGAAUGUACCAUUGGAGGAAGGAUCGGCUAACUACGUGCCAGCAGCCGCGGUAAUACGUAGGAUCCAAGCGUUGUCCGGAAUUACUGGGUGUAAAGGGUGCGCAGGCGGGCUUGUGCGUCGAAGGUUAAAUACCGUAGCUCAACUAAGGGAGUGCCUUCGAAACGGCGAGUCUUGAAUACGAGAGAGGUAGGUAGAAUUCCUGGUGUAGCGGUGAAAUGCGUAGAUAUCAGGAGGAAUACCAGUGGCGAAGGCGGCCUACUGGCUCGUUAUUGACGCUCAUGCAC
rnacentral:rRNA from 1 species